rnacentral:rRNA from 1 species
AGUGAACGCUGGCGGUAGGCCUAACACAUGCAAGUCGAACGGCAGCACAGUAAGAGCUUGCUCUUACGGGUGGCGAGUGGCGGACGGGUGAGGAAUACAUCGGAAUCUACUUUUUCGUGGGGGAUAACGUAGGGAAACUUACGCUAAUACCGCAUACGACCUACGGGUGAAAGCAGGGGAUAUUCGGACCUUGCGCGAUUGAAUGAGCCGAUGUCGGAUUAGCUAGUUGGCGGGGUAAAGGCCCACCAAGGCGACGAUCCGUAGCUGGUCUGAGAGGAUGAUCAGCCACACUGGAACUGAGACACGGUCCAGACUCCUACGGGAGGCAGCAGUGGGGAAUAUUGGACAAUGGGCGCAAGCCUGAUCCAGCCAUACCGCGUGGGUGAAGAAGGCCUUCGGGUUGUAAAGCCCUUUUGUUUGGAAAGAAAAGCAGCAGGUUAAUACCCCGCUGUUCUGACGGUACCCAAAGAAUAAGCACCGGCUAACUUCGUG